UGACAAGGACCACCAAUAUCAGGACAACCAGGAACUCUUACCUACACCCACCCAAUCAGUUCUUUUCCCCAUUGUUAUUGUUGCUCACUGCAAAUUAGACUGAGAACACCUGACAGCACUGUGCACUUUUCAGCCUGACCCACUGUACCGCUAAACUUCAGCACCACUUAAUUCAUUAAAACGUGGAAUGCCAUCCUGGGCAUCUAGCUUGAACAUGCCUAUAAGCUAAGUGCAGUGAGAGCAGCAGAGCUCUCUGAGCGCCAGGUGCUAUCCUGGCAGAGACAACUAAGGAAUAGUUAAGGGACUGUAUAAGAAGAACAAUCCAGAAAACCGGAGAUCAGGUUGCAGAACUGGUGAAAAUAUACCGGGGGCCCGCGACCUGCGCAGGACACUAAGUUCUCACUGGAAUUACAAUUCGUUCUUAAAGCACAGGCAAAAACACUUAAAGCAGAACUACAUUGUUCAUGAUCCAAGGGCCAAUGACCGUGAGGGCGAGCGCUAUUCAUUCACAAGCUACUUUGCUUUCGUCAAUCCCUACUCGUUGAUUUAUGUAAAAAACCAUUUCCUUGACUGCACAGCAUUUUGCCGAUUUCCUCUAUGAAUUACAAUGGUACAGGCGAAACGUCCAUGAGAAAAACGAACCAAUCCUUUCAUCCCCAACCUUCAGGACAUUUUAAUGUUUCGAGCUUAGUCCGGGAAAUAGGAGCAACAACACAAACUCGCGUAAAUUUUACAAAGCUAAAUAUUAUCUUAAAUACACUGUUUUAUGGGUGACAAGAGUAAAAUAUGGAAAUUUAAAACAUUCCAGUUACAUAAAAUAAAACAAUCACAACUUUUUAGGAGCACUCAGAUGACUUCUCUUCCCAAAAGUUUCGCAUUUGCCAGAUAGAGGGGCUGGUUGUAUCUUCUGAGGACAGAUACGCCAACGCAACUGCGGGGAAAUAAAUAAAUAGAGAAAGAAAUGCGGCUAGCUGGCCAGCUAGUGCUUCUGGAGUGUUACUCAUCGCGAUGAUGUCAGCUCCGAGGUAGCAGAAGGAACAUAUUCACCCCCUAGACUUGACAAGCCAGCAACGGAUUGACUCACACAUUGACAAGAAUUUACGUUUUUUUUUCCCAAGACCCAUAACGCCUGGAUAUAUCACGUUGCCGUUUGGCUGGUCGUUUAUUAGUAUGAUAUAUAUCUGCCAAAAGAAACGAGCCACUGAGGUUGGCCGGCUCGAGCCGGUGACGCCACAUUCAGCUGCUGCUAUACGCACCGCGUUAGCUACCCGGCUAGCCAGUUACUGUAGCUGUACACCCGGUACUGUUAAAAUAUUACACUCCAUCACUCACACACACACGCGGCCGGAUUCUGGCUACGUCCCAAAAAGAACAGACAGUACUACUAGACACACACGAAAAGAAAGAAGAAAGUGGGGAAACAUGCAGCGCUAGGAGGAGCGAGCAGCCGGUGGUCGCGGUGACAGAGCUCUCACCCUCAAGAUCAGGAGAAGGAGGCAUGUAUGGACACCAGGAUGCUGCCAGCAGCAGCACUGAAGACCAGAAACAGGACUAAUGGUCGGGGCUCAUCACUGGAACUGGCGACUUUGAGAAGGAAGGAAAAAGAAAAAACAUCAGGCACAGAUUGACGUUUCAAUAUAGCAGGCAAAGAGCAGUUCUCCUGAGUGAUCCACUUGGUGCUGAGGGUGCCGAAGGAGCGGCAGGCCUCAGCGUACGCAGCCAGCGAGCCGCACACCUGCGCCUUGCGAUGGUUAUAGCAACCAUCCAGGUAACAGGACUGGUAGAAAGGCCUGGGGUCCAGCAAACCAUGGCAGGGCUGGAAGAAGCCUUUCAUCUGGGUAUCGUUCAGCAUGAUCUAGCCCUGUGCUGUAAGUCAAAAAGGGUGAGGAAUUUCAUCAACAAGAAGAAAAUCAAGGUGCUUCAAUGGCCUGGAUACUCUUUGGAUUUAAACCCUAUAGAGGUCAAUCUGCAAGCAGCGCCAUGGAAUGGACCAUACCACAAAAGAUAAACAUUAAUUCAAGUAUGAUACCGGUACCCCAAGAUCAUCAAAGACUGCUCAAAAUUGUUGGAUUCUAUGCCAAAUCACAUCCAACUGCUACUAAAAAACCGAGGAGAUCAUAUAUAUUGAAAUGUUGAUAUGUGGAACUUGUUUUAGUUAAUUUGCACAAGGGUGUACAUACAGGCAAUAAAAUGUUCCGAGUUCUAAAAUUAAACUGAGGUUCUCUAGUAAGAAUCCUAUAUUAGGGCAAUAAGGCAACCUUUUGAUUUA